rnacentral:rRNA from 1 species
GAUGAACGCUGGCGGCGUGCUUAACACAUGCAAGUCGAACGGGAAAUAUUUCAUUGAGACUUCGGUGGAUUUGAUUUAUUUCUAGUGGCGGACGGGUGAGUAACGCGUGGGUAACCUGCCUUAUACAGGGGGAUAACAGUCAGAAAUGGCUGCUAAUACCGCAUAAGCGCACAGAGCUGCAUGGCUCAGUGUGAAAAACUCCGGUGGUAUAAGAUGGACCCGCGUUGGAUUAGCUAGUUGGGGGGGUAACGGCCCACCAAGGCGACGAUCCAUAGCCGGCCUGAGAGGGUGAACGGCCACAUUGGGACUGAGACACGGCCCAGACUCCUACGGGAGGCAGCAGUGGGGAAUAUUGCACAAUGGGGGAAACCCUGAUGCAGCGACGCCGCGUGAAGGAAGAAGUAUCUCGGUAUGUAAACUUCCAUCAGCAGGGAAGAUAGUGACGGUACCUGACGAAGAAGCCCCGGCUAACUACGUG